ACUGACUCAUGGAGGACCUGGACCCUGUCUUCAUCCUGCUCUCUACCAGCUGAUGUGCUGCCAAAGUCCGUCUUUGAAGAACUUCAGCUGGAGGGACAUCGUUGAUGCUGAAGCACAGAAGCGAUUGCAAGAGCUGCACAGUUGUAAUGAUGUAAGGCAGCUAUCUCCCAGUCUGUGUGACUGGGUAUCGCAUUGUGGGAUCCCUGGAAUCCAUUCGGCCUGUUCUUAUGAAAUUUCUACCAUUUAUGCUCGUUUGGUAAAACAUUGCAUCUACCAC